rnacentral:rRNA from 1 species
GAUGAACGCUGGCGGCGUGCUUAACACAUGCAAGUCGAACGAUGAAGCCCAGCUUGCUGGGUGGAUUAGUGGCGAACGGGUGAGUAACACGUGAGUAACCUGCCCUUGACUCUGGGAUAAGCCCGGGAAACUGGGUCUAAUACCGGAUAGGAGCGCCUGUCGCAUGACGGGUGUUGGAAAGAUUUUUCGGUCAUGGAUGGACUCGCGGCCUAUCAGCUUGUUGGUGAGGUAAUGGCUCACCAAGGCGACGACGGGUAGCCGGCCUGAGAGGGCGACCGGCCACACUGGGACUGAGACACGGCCCAGACUCCUACGGGAGGCAGCAGUGGGGAAUAUUGCACAAUGGGCGGAAGCCUGAUGCAGCGACGCCGCGUGAGGGAUGACGGCCUUCGGGUUGUAAACC